GUCUGGGUUCAUAUACAGCUUGGUACCCUCCCUGUCUCUCUGGGACGGCAGGAGGACUAAUGUAUAUGCUGUUAGGGUAGUCUGGGUUCAUAUACAGCUUGGUACCCUCCCUGUCUCUCUGGGACGGCAGGAGGACUAAUGUAUAUGCUGUUAGGGUAGUCUGGGUUCAUAUACAGCUUGGUACCCUCCCUGUCUCUCUGGGACGGCAGGAGGACUAAUGUAUAUGCUGUUAGGGUAGUCUGGGUUCAUAUACAGCUUAUUACCCUCCCUGUCUCUCUGGGACGGCAAGAGGACUAAUGUAUAUGCUGUUAGGGUAGUCUGGGUUCAUAUACAGCUUGGUACCCUCCCUGUCUCUCUGGGACGGCAGGAGGACUAAUGUAUAUGCUGUUAGGGUAGUCUGGGUUCAUAUACAGCUUGGUACCCUCCCUGUCUCUCUGGGAUGGCAGGAGGACUAAUGUAUAUGCUGUUAGGGUAGUCUGGGUUCAUAUACAGCUUGGUACCCUCCCUGUCUCUCUGGGACGGCAGGAGGACUAAUGUAUGUGAUGUUAGGGUAGUCUGGGUUCAUAUACAGCUUGGUACCCUCCCUGUCUUUCUGGGACGGCAGGAGGACUAAUGUAUAUGCUGUUAGGGUAGUCUGGGUUCAUAUACAGCUUGGUACCCUCCCUGUCUCUCUGGGACGGCAAGAGGACUAAUGUAUAUGCUGUUAGGGUAGUCUGGGUUCAUAUACAGCUUGGUACCCUCCCUGUCUCUCUGGGACGGCAGGAGGACUAAUGUAUAUGCUGUUAGGGCAGUCUGGGUUCAUAUACAGCUUGUUACCCUCCCUGUCUCUCUGGGACGGCAAGAGGACUAAUGUAUAUGCUGUUAGGGUAGUCUGGGUUCAUAUACAGCUUGGUACCCUCCCUGUCUCUCUGGGACGGCAGGAGGACGAAUGUAUAUGCUGUUAGGGUAGUCUGGGUUCAUAUACAGCUUGGUACCCUCCCUGUCUCUCUGGGACGGCAGGAGGACUAAUGUAUAUGCUGUUAGGGUAGUCUGGGUUCAUAUACAGCUUGGUACCCUCCCUGUCUCUCUGGGACGGCAGGAGGACUAAUGUAUAUGCUGUUAGGUUAGUCUGGGUUCAUAUACAGCUUGUUACCCUCCCUGUCUCUCUGGGACGGCAGGAGGACUAAUGUAUAUGCUGUUAGGGUAGUCUGGGUUCAUAUACAGCUUGGUACCCUCCCUGUCUCUCUGGGACGGCAAGAGGACUAAUGUAUAUGCUGUUAGGGUAGUCUGGGUUCAUAUACAGCUUGGUACCCUCCCUGUCUCUCUGGGAUGGCAGGAGGACUAAUGUAUAUGCUGUUAGGGUAGUCUGGGUUCAUAUACAGCUUGGUACCCUCCCUGUCUCUCUGGGACGGCAGGAGGACUAAUGUAUAUGCUGUUAGGGUAGUCUGGGUUCAUAUACAGCUUGGUACCCUCCCUGUCUCUCUGGGAUGGCAGGAGGACUAAUGUAUAUGCUGUUAGGGUAGUCUGGGUUCAUAUACAGCUUGGUACCCUCCCUGUCUCUCUGGGACGGCAGGAGGACUAAUGUAUGUGAUGUUAGGGUAGUCUGGGUUCAUAUACAGCUUGGUACCCUCCCUGUCUUUCUGGGACGGCAGGAGGACUAAUGUAUAUGCUGUUAGGGUAGUCUGGGUUCAUAUACAGCUUGGUACCCUCCCUGUCUCUCUGGGACGGCAGGAGGACUAAUGUAUAUGCUGUUAGGUUAGUCUGGGUUCAUAUACAGCUUGUUACCCUCCCUGUCUCUCUGGGACGGCAGGAGGACUAAUGUAUAUGCUGUUAGGGUAGUCUGGGUUCAUAUACAGCUUGGUACCCUCCCUGUCUCUCUGGGACGGCAAGAGGACUAAUGUAUAUGCUGUUAGGGUAGUCUGGGUUCAUAUACAGCUUGGUACCCUCCCUGUCUCUCUGGGACGGCAGGAGGACUAAUGUAUAUGCUGUUAGGGUAGUCUGGGUUCAUAUACAGCUUGGUACCCUCCCUGUCUCUCUGGGACGGCAGGAGGACUAAUGUAUAUGCUGUUAGGGUAGUCUGGGUUCAUAUACAGCUUGUUACCCUCCCUGUCUCUCUGGGACGGCAAGAGGACUAAUGUAUAUGCUGUUAGGGUAGUCUGGGUUCAUAUACAGCUUGGUACCCUCCCUGUCUCUCUGGGACGGCAGGAGGACUAAUGUAUAUGCUGUUAGGGUAGUCUGGGUUCAUAUACAGCUUGGUACCCUCCCUGUCUCUCUGGGAUGGCAGGAGGACUAAUGUAUAUGCUGUUAGGGUAGUCUGGGUUCAUAUACAGCUUGGUACCCUCCCUGUCUCUCUGGGACGGCAGGAGGACUAAUGUAUGUGAUGUUAGGGUAGUCUGGGUUCAUAUACAGCUUGGUACCCUCCCUGUCUUUCUGGGACGGCAGGAGGACUAAUGUAUAUGCUGUUAGGGUAGUCUGGGUUCAUAUACAGCUUGGUACCCUCCCUGUCUCUCUGGGACGGCAAGAGGACUAAUGUAUAUGCUGUUAGGGUAGUCUGGGUUCAUAUACAGCUUGGUACCCUCCCUGUCUCUCUGGGACGGCAGGAGGACUAAUGUAUAUGCUGUUAGGGUAGUCUGGGUUCAUAUACAGCUUGGUACCCUCCCUGUCUCUCUGGGACGGCAAGAGGACUAAUGUAUAUGCUGUUAGGGUAGUCUGGGUUCAUAUACAGCUUGGUACCCUCCCUGUCUCUCUGGGACGGCAGCAGGACUAAUGUAUAUUCUGUUAGGGUAG